GAAUUCCGGGCCGCCGCGGCCACGCCGGAGACACCAGGAGGGCGGGCGGCGCCCUGGGGCCAAGGUGGCCCCUCAGCUGCGACGGGCCGGGCUAGGUCGGGCCUGACUCCCGAGAAAGCAGGGCCGCCCGACAGCACCCGCCGGCCGCGUCCUGCCGGCCCGCGGCUCGGGGUCAUCCUGCCGCCCUUCCGCGAGCCCCUCCCUCCAGGGCCUCUUUCUCCGGAGCUCACCUCCCGACUCCGCGCCCGCAGCCUGCGCUUCAGCUCCAGCUCGGGUUCCGGGGCCUCGGAUCCCAGCGACUCCCUCACAGCUGCGCUCCGCAGCGCAACCGAACUGCGGGCCCCGCCCUCGCGGCGUCCGGACCAACAGUGGGCGGUGCCGCACCGCCGCCAGGUUUCCAUUGGACAGGGCAGCGGGGGGCGGUUCCCACAGACCGAGGCUCUCAAGGCAGUCUACUGCCGGGUCUCCUCCCCUUGCGGGGUUCCGGCAGACUGCCUGCCAGCGUUGUCUUCUUGUCUCUCUGUCCAUCCUCCUCCCAGUCGAGGUGCCCCCAAGUAAUUCUGCCGGACGAAAGGAAGGCCUUCUCUCUCUUCUUGAAAGCGCCAUGACAGUCCUAAUCCUCUAAGAAGACAAAAGGAACGGAAGACGCAGCCUUUCAAUCUGAGGAACGAACCCACCCACAUUCCCCAUUUGGGAAAGAGACAGUGCACUGGUCAUCAAAUUUUCAGAAAGCUUUUUUUUAAUCGCUUAACAUGAAAACUAAUAGUUGCUGAUUUGCAUAACAUUAUUUACCCAGACAUAACCUGAUUCGACCCACAUAAGGGAGAACUCAUUGAAGUUAUCCAAUGAUAGUUGGCAAAUUCGAAAAAGAAACAAAACAAAACAAAAAAAAAAAGUUACUCAAAUUUAAGUUGACAUGAGUCCAAAAUAGAAUCCGAAGUAAGAAGAUCCAUCAAAACUGUCUUUGAAAAGGUAUUAUUUGGAAAGAGUUUACAUUGUCUGUGAGUGUAAAGAAUUACAAUAGAUUCUGGGUAAGCCAUUGAUCUUAGAAAGUUAAAGGCAGAAUUUAAGAGAUGUAUAAUACCAUUAUACAUGUAUUAUCAAGGAAGAAGGAUGAAUCAUCUGAAUCUGAGAAUGUCACAAUCACCAAUUUUACUCUCCUUAAAGGGACUAGUUAAUCCUAGUUCACGGGUUCACACAGAAAUCCUAUAGAGACUCAUUUUUUUCUCAUCUCUUCACUUUAAAAUGCUUGCUUUAAAAACUGAAAUUUCAACAAGCAUGCCAGAGAGAUCUCUGUGAAUUCAAGGCCAACCAGGGCUACAUAGUCUCAAAAACAAACUUUUUUUUUCACCCAGCAUAGUAAUGCAUACCUGUAAUCCUAUCACUCAGUAGGCUAAUGCCGUGAGUUCAAGGUCAGCAUAAGCAAUAGAGCAACAACACUGUGUCAAGACAAAAUAGAAUUCUGAUGUUGGAUUAAAAGAUGCACUUACCUAAAAUGUAUAGCACACCAUUUCAAAGUUUGUUCUAGUCUCAGAAGGGUGCUCAUCCUCUCCAGAUUAGCCUUUCUGCCAAAGCCAUUGUAACUCCUGAGCCAUGGCAAGCAUUCAUGACAUAUCUGUUCAUGCUACUUUAGUUCCUAUUAUUUUCUGUCAGUACUAUUUCAAAUGUGCACAGAGGAUCUUUUGGCAACCUCAUUUUCAGUUAUUUUCUCAUGUAUACCUAAAAUGACCAACUGCUGCCUACAUUUUUACCACCUCACUUAUGUUUCCUGAUUACAAAAGUAAUAAAUACUAGCCAGAU